GGUCUAAGAAGAUAGCACUGGGAUGAUAGACGUGGCAUAUUCUCACGCUGUACUAUCAAAGUAAAUCCAAGGGAUACGAUUGUAACCUCUCUUUAUUAUUUUAUUAGCUAAGCCAUUAAAGUGAGGAUUACAAUAUUCUAAUAUGAACCGUUGAUUAAAAUAAAUCUAACGAACACAAAUUUAAACCUUUUUUAAUCUUUUCUUUUCACUUCAUCCCCUCAUUCUCCUCUUAGUCGUAUCUCUUUCAUCUCUUCCUCUGCAAUCGAUUAUCCAAUUAGAACUACCCUGCAAUUGAAGCAAUUAUCAAAUUAGUUUUCGAGUUGGGGAUCGCGACUUCCACCCACGAGAGCUAUGUUUCGAAGCUGAUCAAAUUGGAGGAGAGAUGGCUGGGAAAAUCCUGAAUGAUGGGAAAAUAUUAUAUUCAACAAGAGAUAAGGAUGGACCUGUAACCUUACAGAUUGAUGAAGGGGAAGAAGAAUGAUCUUGCAGCUUUGUGAUGGGGAGAAGACUAUACGACACCACUUUUUGAUUUUAAGAAUGUAUUUUUAUUUUGUAAUAUAGAAUUUUUGUAUCA